CUAUUGAUCAAAAAAUCUAAAACAAAUUCUCAUCUAUAAACAAAAAAAUUCUUGUUAUCCUAAUUUCUAAAUCAAAACCCCAAAUCCACACUAUUAUUCACAAAAAUGAAAACUUUCCUAAAAUAGAAUUUUUAAGAAUUUUAUCUAAAAUAUAUAAACCUAUUGAUCAAAAAAUCUAAAAAAAUACUCAUCUAUCAACAAAAUUCUUGUUAUCCCAAUUUAUAAAUCACAACCCCUAAUCUACAAUAUUUCUAUAAAAAAUGUAAACUUUCCUAAAAUAGAGUUUUUGAGAAUUAUUUUUAAAAAAUACAACUAUUGACGAAAAAUCUAAAAGAAUACUCAUCUAUAAACAAAAAAUUCUUGUUAUCCUAAUUUCUAAAUCAAAACCCCAAAUCCACACUAUCAUUCACAAAAAUGAAAACUUUCCUAAAAUAGAAUUUUUGAGAAUUUUAUCAAAAAUAUAAAACCUAUUGAUCAAAAAAUUAAAAAAAAAAUACUCAUCUAUCCGCAAAAGUUCUUGUUUUCCUAGUUUCUAAACCACAACUCCCAAUCUACAAUAAUUCUAUAGAAAAUGAAAACAUUCCUAAAAUAGAAUUUUUGAAAAUUAUUUUUAUAAAAAUACAACUAUUGAUCAAAAAAUCUAAAAGAAAUUCUCAUCUAUAAACAAAAAAAUUCUUGUUAUCCUAAUUUCUAAAUCAAAACCCCAAAUCCACACUAUUAUUCACAAAAAUGAAAACUUUCCUAAAAUGGAAUAUUUGAGAAUUUUAUCUAAAAUAUAAAACCUAUAGAUCAAAAAAUCUAAAAAAAUACUCAUCUAUCAACAAAAAUUCUUGUUAUCCUAAUUUCUAAAUCUCAACCCCGAAUCUACAAUAUUUCUAUAAAAAUGAAAACUUUCCUAAAAUAGAAUUUUUGAGAAUUAUUUUUAAAAAAUACAACUAUUGAUCAAAAAAUCUAAAAGAACACUCAUCUAUAAAUAAAAAAUUUCUUGUUAUCCUAAUUUCUAAAUCAAAACCCCAAAUCCACACUAUUACUCACAAAAAUGAAAACUUUCAUAAAAUAGAAUUUUUGAGAAUUUUAUCUAAAAUAUACAACCUAUUGAUCUAAAAAUCUAAAAGAAUACUCAUCUAUCAACAAAUAUUCAUUUUAUCCUAAUUUAUAAAUCACAAACUCAAAUCUACAAUAUUUCUCUAUAAAAUGAAAAUUUUCUAAAAAUAGAAAUCUUGAGAAUUAUUUUUUUAAAAUACAACUAUUGAUAAAAAAAAUCUAAAAGAAUACUCACCUAUAAACAAAAAAAUUCUUGUUAUCCUAAUUUCUAAAUAAAAACCCCAAAUCCACACUAUUAUUCACAAAAAUGAAAACUUUCCUAAAAUAGAACUUUUGAGAAUUUUAUCUAAAAUAUAAAACCUAUUGAUCAAAAAAUCUAAAAAAAAAUACUCAUCAAUCCACAAAAGUUCUUAUUAUCCUAGUUUCUAAAUCACAACCCCCAAUCUACAAUAUUUCUAUAAAAAUGAAAACUUUCCUAAAAUAGAAUUUUUGAGAAUUAUUUUUUUUAAAAUACAACUAUUGAUCAAAAAAUCUAAAAGAAUACUCAUCUAUAAACAAAAAAAUUCUUGUUAUCAUAAUUUCUAAAUAAAAACCCAAAAUCCACACUAUUAUUCACAAAAAUGAAAAAUUUCCUAAAAUAGAAUUUUUGAGAAUUUUAUCUAAAAUAUAAAACCUAUUGAUCAAAAAAUCUAAUAAAAUAUUCAUCUAUCCACAAAAAUUCUUGUUAUCGUAGUUUCUAAAUCACAAUCCCCAAUCUACAAUAUUUCUAAAAAAAUGAAAACUUUCUUAAAAUAGAAUUUUUGAGAAUUAUUUUUAAAAAAAUACAACUAUUGAUCAAAAAAUCUAAAAGAAUACUCAUCUAUAAACAAAAAAAUUCUUGUUAUCCUAAUUUCUAAAUCAAAACUCCAAAUCCACACUAUUACUCACAAAAAUGAAAACUUUCCUAAAACAGAACUUUUGAGAAUUUUAUCUAAAAUAUAAAACCUAUUGAUCAAAAAAUUAAAAAAAAAAUACUCAUUUAUCCGCAAAAGAUCUUGUUUUCCUAGUUUCUAAAUCACAACCCCCAAUCUACAAUAAUUCUAUAAAAAAUGAAAAAUUUCCUAAAAUAGAAUUUUUGAGAAUUAUUUUCAAAAAUACAACUAUUGAUCAAAAAAUCUAAAACAAAUUCUCAUCUAUAAACAAAAAAAUUCUUGUUAUCCUAAUUUCUAAAUCAAAACCCCAAAUCCACACCAUUACUCACAAAAAUGAAAACUUUCCUAAAAUAGAAUUUUUGAGAAUUUUAUCAAAAAUAUAAAAUCUAUUGAUAAAAAAAAAACAAAAAACAAUACUUAUCUAUCCGCAAAAGUUCUUGUUUUCCUAGUUUAUAAACCACAACCCCCAAUCUACAAUAAUUCUAUAGAAAAUGAAAACUUUCCAAAAAUAGAAUUUUUGAGAAUUAUUUUUUAAAAAAAUACAACUAUUGAUAAAAAAAUCUAAAAGAAAUUCUCAUCUAUAAACAAAAAAAUUCUUGUUAUCCUAAUUUCUAAAUAAAAACCCCAAAUCCACACUAUUAUUCACAAAAAUGAAAAUUUUCCUAAAAGAGAAUUUUUGAGAAUUUUAUCUAAAAUAUAAAACCUAUUGAUCAAAAAAUCUAAAAAAAAUACUCAUCUAUCCACAAAAAUUCUUGUUAUCCUAGUUUCUAAAUCACAACCCCCAAUUUACACUAUUUCUAUAAAAAAUGAAAACUUUCCUAAAAUAGAAUUUUUGAGAAUUUUAUCUAAAAUAUACAACCUGUUGAUCAAAAAAUCUAAAAGAAUACUCAUCUAUAAACAAAAAAAAUUCUUGUUAUCCUAAUUUCUAAAUCAAAACCCCAAAUUAACACUAUUAUUCACAAAAAUGAAAACUUUCCUAAAAUAGAAUUUUUGAGAAUUUUAUCUAAAAUAUACAACCUGUUGAUCAAAAAAUCUAAAAGAAUACUCAUCUAUCUACAAAAAUUCUUGUUAUCCUAAUUUAUAAAUCACAGCCUCAAAUCUAUAAUAUUUCUCUAUAAAAAUGAAAACUUUCCUAAAAUAGAAUUUUUGAGAAUUUUAUCUAAAAUAUAAAAAUUACUGAUCAAAAAAAAAAAUACUCAUCUAUUUGCAAAAGUUCUUGUUUUCCUAGUUUCUAAACCACAACCUCCAGUCUACAAUAAUUCUACAGAAAAUGAAAAUUUUCCUAAAAUAGAAUUUUUGAGAAUUAUUUAAAAAAAAUACACCUAUUGAUCAAAAAAUUAAAAAAAAAAUACUCAUUUAUCCGCAAAAGUUCUUGUUUUCCUAGUUUCUAAAUCACAAUCCCAAAUCUACAAUAUUUCUAUAAAAAAUGAAAACUUUACUAAAAUAAAAUUUUUAAGAAUUAUUUUAAAAAAAUACAACUAUUGAUCGAAAAAUCUAAAAGAAUACUCAUCUAUAAACAAAAAAUUCUUGUUAUCCUAAUUUCUAAAUCAAAACACCAAAUCCACACUAUUAUUCACAAAAAUGAAUACUUUCCUUAAAUAGAAUUUUUGAGAAUUUUAUCUAAAAUAUACAAUCUAUUGAUAAAAAAAUCUUAAAAAAACUCAUCUACCAGCAAAAAUUCUUGUUAUCCUAAUUUCUAAAUCAAAACCCCAAAUCUACAACAAUUCUAUAAAAAAUGAAAACUUUCCUAGAAUAGAUUUUUUUAGAAUUAUUUUUAAAAAAUACAACUAUUGAUCAAAAAAUCUAAAAGAAUACUCAUCUAUAAACAAAACAAUUCUUGUUAUCCUAAUUUCUAAAUCAAAACCCCAAAUCCACACUAUUAUUCACAAAAAUGAAAAUUUUCCUAUAAUAGAAGUUUUGAGAAUUUUAUCUAAAAUAUACAACCUAUUGAUAAAACAAAUCUUAAAAAAUACUCAUCUAUCAACAAAAAUUCUUGUUGUCCUAAUUUUUAAAUCAAAACCCCAAAUCUACAAUAUUUCUAUAAGAAAUUAAAACUUUCCAAGAAUAGAAUUUUUUAGACUUAUUUUAAAAAAAUACAACUAUUGAUCAAAAAAUCUAAAAGAAUACUCAUCUAUAAACAAAAAAAAAUACUUGUUAUCCUAAUUUCUAAAUCAAAAUCCCAAACCCACACUAUUAUUCACAAAAAUGAAAAAUUUCCUAAAGUAGAAUUUUUGAGAAUUUUAUCUCAAAUAUACAACCUAUUGAUCAAAAAAUCUAAAAGAAUACUCAUCUAUCUACAGAAAUUCUUGUUAUCCAAAUAUAUAAAUCACAACCUCAAAUCUACAAUAUUUCUCUAUAAAAAUAAAAAAUUUCAAAAAAUAAAUUAUUUGAGAAUUUUAUCUAAAAUAUAAAACCUAUUGAUCAAAAUAUCUAAAAGAAUACUCAUCUAUCAACAAAAAUUCUUGUUAUCCAAAUUUCUAAAUCACAACCCAAAUCUACAAUAUUUAUAUAAAAAUUGAAAACUUUCCUAAAAUAUAAUUUUUGGGAAUUAUUCUUUAAAAAUAAAAAUAUUGAUCAAAAAUCUAAAAGAAUACUCAUCUAUAAACAAAAAAUUCUUGAUAUCCUAAUUUCUAAAUUAAAACCCCAAAUCCACACUAUUAUUCACAAAAAUGAAAACUUUCAUAAAAUAGAAUUUCAUGGAAUUUUAUCUAAAAUAUACAACCUAUUGAUAAAAAAAUCUUAAAAAAAUACUCAUCUAUCAAAAACAAUUCUUGUUAUUCUAAUUUCUAAAUAAAAACCCCAAAUCUACAAUAUUUCUAUAAAAAAUAAAAACUUUCCUAGAAUAGAAUUUUUUAGAAUUAUUUUUAAAAAAUACAACUAUUGAUCAAAAAAUCCAAAAGAAUACUCAUCUAUAAACAAAAAAUUCUUGUUAUCCUAAUUUUUAAAUUAAACCCCAAAUCCACACUUUUAUUUACAAAAAUAAAAAUUUUCCUAAAAUAGAAUUUUUGACAAUUUUAUCUAAAAUAUACAUCCUAUUGAUCAAAAAAUUUAAAAGAAUACUCAUCUAUCUACAAAAAUUAUUGUUAUCCUAAUUUCUAAAUCACAAUCUCAAAUGUACAAUAUUUUUAUAAAAAUGAAAACUUUCCUAAAAUAGAACUUUUGAGAAUUAUUUUUAAAAAAUACAACUAUUGCUCAAAAAAUCUAAAAGAAUACUCAUCUAUAAACAAAACAUUUCUUGUUAUCCUAAUUUCUAAAUCAAAACCCCAAAUCCACACUAUUAUUCCGAAAAACUAAAACUUUCCUAAAAUAGAAUUUUUAAGAAUUUUAUGUAAAAUAUACAACUUAUUGAUCAAAAAAUCUAAAAAAAAAAAUACUCAUCUAUCAACAAAAAUUCUUGUUAUCCUAAUUUCUAAAUCAAAACCCCAAAUCCACACUAUUAUUCACAAAAAUGAAAACUUUCCUAAAAUAGAAUUUUUAAGAAUUUUAUGUAAAAUAUACAACUUAUUGAUCAAAAAAUCUAAAAGAAUACUCAUCUAUAAACAAAAAAAUUAUUGUUGUCUUAAUUUCUAAAUAAAAACCCCAAAUCCACACUAUUAUUCACAAAAAUGAAAACUUUCCUAAAAUAGAAUUUUUAAGAAUUUUAUCUAAAAUAUAAAACCUAUUGAUAAAAAAAUCAAAUAAAAUACUCAUCUAUCCACAAAAAUUCUUGUUAUCGUAGUUUCUAAAUCACAACCCCCAAUCUACAAUAUUUCUAAAAAAAUGAAAACUUUCCUAAAAUAGAAUUUCUGAGAAUUAUUUUUAAAAAAUACAACUAUUAAUCAAAAAAUCAAAAAGAAUACUCAUCUAUAAAUAAAAAAAAUUCUUGUUAUCCUAAUUUCUAAAUCAAAACCCCAAAUCCACACUAUUACUCACAAAAUGAAAACUUUCAUAAAAUAGAAUUUUCGAGAAUUUUAUCUAAAAUAUAAAACCUAUUGAUAAAAAAAUUAAAAAGAAAUACUCAUUUAUCCGCAAAAGUUCUUGUUUUCCUAGUUUCUAAAUCACAACCCCCAAUCUACAAUAAUUCUUUAGAAAAUGAAAACUUUCCUAAAAUAGAAUUUUUGAGAAUUAUUUUGAAAAAAAUACAACUAUUGAUCAAAAAAUCUAAAACAAAUUCUCAUCUAUAAACAAAAAAAAUUCUUGUUAUCCUAAUUUCUAAAUCAAAACCCCAAAUCCACACUAUUAUUCACAAAAAUGAAAAUUUUCCUAAAAUAGAAUUUUUGAGAAUUUUAUCAAAAAUAUAUAAACCUAUUGAUCAAAAAAUCUAAAAAAAAUACUCAUCUAUCAACAAAAAUUCUUGUUAUCCUAAUUUAUAAAUCACAACCCCAAAUCUACAAUAUUUCAAUAAAAAAUGAAAACUUUCCUAAAAUAGAAUUUUUGAGAAUUAUUUUUUUAAAAAUACAACUAUUGAUCAAAAAAUCUAAAAGAAUACUCAUCUAUAAACAAAAAAUUCUUGUUAUCCUAAUUUCUAAAUCAAAACCCCAAAUCCACACUAUUAUUCACAAAAAUGAAAACUUUCCUAAAAUAGAAUUUUUGAGAAUUUUAUCUAAAAUAUAAAACUUAUUGAUCAAAAAAUCAAAAAAAAAUACUCAUCUAUCCGAAAAAGUUCU
rnacentral:lncRNA from 1 species